GUGCUCACUUUGCACAUAUAUUUAAAUUGCAAAGAUAUGGGGAAGAUUAGCAGCAAGGCUCUUCAGCAAAGAUGAUACACACAUUUCUGAAGUUUUUCAUGUUUUU